CUACAAUGCCAGGCUGUCGCUUCUUGUAAAAGGGGAGAGGAAAGUCCGGACAGCAAAGAGCAGCGCACCACCUAACGGGUGGGGUUCCUGUAAAAAGGGAUACAGAGAGUGCCACAGAAAAUAACCGCCUUGCAAAGGGUAAGGGUGAAAAUGCAGGGUAAGAGCCUGCGCUUUAUACUGGUAACAAUGUAAAGGGGUAAACCUUGCGUGCUGAAAUGCCAAAUAGGCGGACGAUUGAGGGCGGCUCGCCCGAUGUCCGCGGGUUGGCAGAAAGAGGUGAUGUGUGAGCAGCAUCCCAGAUAAAUGACAGCCAUUCCGGGACCAUACGGAAUAACAGAAUCCGGCUUAUAGGUUUUGUAGUUGU
rnacentral:RNase_P_RNA from 1 species